UUGUCCUUCUUGGCAGCUUUGGAGCCUGAAUCCAGGCACAGCCAGAAUUGCAAGAACGAGGAUUUCAGAGAUCAGAAAGAGCAGAGGAAACCAACCACCGUGCUGCUGCAAACUCCUGGGAGCUGCAAAAUGAAAAAGAAGAGCGUGCAGAUUCCUUGAGCACCCAAGAAGAGUCACCAGUGAUGUUUAUCCAUUCUCCAGAUGAAGAUGAAGCAGGAGGCAAUUACAGCCAGUACUUUUUUAGAGCUCUUAAACACACCCAACAGCUAUUUGGUGCUUCCUUUUAGAGGAAAAGAAAGCAGGGCUGGCUCAGUUUCUCCCACUAGCAUGAUCCAGAGGAGCUCUUCCUUUAGACACGUAAGCAACAACCUCCAGUCCAUGGCCAACUCACUUUCUACUCAACUUUGGAGAUAGAUAUGAAAAUGUAUAAAU